CAACAAUGUGGUCUUGGUGAGUUUACAAUAAUGUUAUAAUAAUCGGAGCGCAAUGCUGAAGUAGGCCUAGAUCAUACUGUACGUGUUGCUGUAAGACUGAACUGUGAAUUCCUUGACUGUGACUUUAGUGACAACAUUUGACGCACCAAAAAGUAGCACCACAACGCCAUGAAUCCCAUUCUUCCAUCCUCUUCCCUUGACAGUUACUCUUGAUGACCCCGGCUCCACCGGAACCGGGAUUUUUUUUUUUAGGAAGAGCUCGAUCGAACCGCAAGGCGGAGGAGGAUUUGUGACAGCGCGCAAGGACACGCCUUCUCAUUAAACCGGCAGUUUGUGCGGCUCCACCUUGCCGUCACUGCCGUGUCGUCAGUAGCGAAACGAACCGCACCGCUGCCUCUUCUACAGUAGUUGUUAUACUCCCCUCUACUUAAUUAACCUUGUACGUAUUAUUUUGUCCCCGACGGUUGUGGUGUUCUGCGUCAAAAAUAGCAACAGAGAUGUAAAAGCAAGUUACACUACCGCAUCUUCCUCGUCUUUUGAUAUGCAGCUACUGACAUAACCAGGAGCGCUGGUGACAGUGCAGGGGAAGAUGGACAUCCAGAGUGGCAUACAGAUGGCAAUGGAGACUCUCCCCUCCUUCCCCCAACAGUCGGGUACCCAUCAGCAGAGCGAGCCAGAGGACGGCCAGACAGAGGGGAGUGCCAGGCUUACCGCUGACAAUCACAGCAAGGACACCCAGCCAGCUGCUGGCCACCAAGAUGACAAACAAACGGGCGUCUGCGAGGCACUGUGUUCGGCUUUACGUGGCAGAUGGCCGGGCACUCUGCUGCAUCAGCCCAGUGCAGCAGUGAGAGGAUACCACAGCAGUAAGACGGCCAUGAGCCCAGCAGGCUUCAGCUCCCAGUGGACCAGCGGUGUUCAGGAGACCUGGAGUGGCCACACCGUCUCCUACCCCCGUGCCAGCCUGCACUACCCGGCCCACCACCACCCCACGCAUGCCAGCUACGGCUACUGCCUGGGACAGCCUGCAUGAUAGCGACUCUGACUGGGAGGCCCCGGUGCCCAUCCCCCACUGAAGCGGGUUCAUCCAGCCAGACUCCUGCUGUCUCCAGCUCCACACCUACCCCCGCCCGGCCAUCUAGAGGUGUGAAGACAGGAACAAAGAAGCGGAGGAAGGGAAGUGAGGAAUGACUGUACCUCAGUGCCAAAAGGGCAAAGCAUGGAGGCGUCGUUGUGUUCUUUGUCACAUGAAGUCCCCCAUCACCUGCACCAGUUGUUCAGUUUGCCUCUGCUUUARAGCAGAAAGAGACUGCUAUGGGACAUGGCACAGGCAGCAAAAGAUUGUGUAGAGGGCUUCUGAACGGUCUACCCCUGUUUUUUUUUAAAUAUAUUUUUUCUAAUAUUUUUUAAAACAUUUUUAGAUUUUUUUUUGUGUGUUAGAAUUGCUUUUUGAUAAGUUGUAUAUAUUUAUUUGCAAUGUUGUAUAUAGUUAUAGGUCAUUUCACCAAUUCGGCCACUUGGGUACAUUUGGGCAACUUGUGUGGGACACCUAGGUGACUUCAUGCUAAAUGUCAUGUAGCUCACCCAUUCCUGAAGUUAUCAGUCUGAAACUUUGCACACCUACAGUUUCCCUUUUGUGUUAUCCAUCAAAAUUAUCUCCAGCAUCCUAUCUGACUAUGUGGCUAUUCUAGUACAUAUGAAAGAUGAUGCUACAACAAUAAAAAACAGAAAACGUAUGCUCUUUCUUUCUCUUUUCUUCCACCAGAUCUACUGUGUUAUAUUCUCCUACAUUCAAUUAACAUUUCCACAAACUUCAGAAUGUUUGCAUUCAAAUUGAUACCAAGAAUAUGCAUAUCCUUGCCUCUGGGGCUGAGCUACAGGCAGU
ensembl:lncRNA